AUUGAACGCUGGCGGCAGGCCUAACACAUGCAAGUCGAACGAGUGGCGGACGGGUGAGUAAUGUCUGGGAAACUGCCUGAUGGAGGGGGAUACCUACUGGAAACGGUAGCUAAUACCGCAUACCAUCGGAUGUUCCCAGAUGGGAUUAGCUAGUAGGUGGGGUAAAGGCUCACCUAGGCGACGAUCCCUAGCUGGUCUGAGAGGAUGACCAGCCACACUGGAACUGAGACACGGUCCAGACUCCUACGUGAGGCAGCAGGGGGGAAUAUUGCACAAUGGGCGCAAGCCUGAUGCAGCCAUGCCGCGUGUAUGAAGAAGGCCUUCGGGUUGUAAAGUACUUGCAGCGAGGAGGCGUUACUCGCAGAAGAAGCACCGGCUAACUCCGUGCCAGCAGCCGCGGUAAUAC
rnacentral:rRNA from 1 species